rnacentral:lncRNA from 1 species
GGCGAAUCCCACAUCGGUUAAGUGCGAGGAGUAAGUGAUGUACAUAAGAGGGGUGGUGCCUUGAAUGGUUGGACGCGUUUUGGUGGUGAAAUGGCUGGAGAGUUGGAAGAACUCCAGGGUUAAGCGUGCUCGCUUAACGGAAAUCCUAGGAUGGGUGACCUCCUGGGAAGUUUCCCAUUUCCCCCAAGAACAAAACCGUGAGGGUGACCUCGUACGGAAGGGCCCAAAGCGGACAAUAUUCAGCCAUGUCAAGGGCCAUGACA